rnacentral:rRNA from 1 species
AUGGGCCGCACUGGCGAGGGAAGGAGGAGGAGGAGUCAACGCACCAUCUCCGCUCGAGAUGCUUGGGAGGCCAACAGCUGGCGUCGAUCGUUUAAUCAUACCAACAGCCGAGUACUACGAAGUACCACGAACUUUAGAGCAUCUCCACUAGGGCUCCAGGAAGCCCCUCGGGAGCAUUUUUUCUGCACCGGCGGUCAAAAAUGGUCCCAGCCGCACCCCCACGGACUCAUUUUGCGCUGCUGUUGCAAGGCCCACUGCCAUCUUCUCUCCUUCCUUCUCCUGCAUAGGCCCACCACAUGCAACAUGCAAGAAAAAACAAACUCUCUUCUCUCUCCCUCACUCGCCCCGAGGAAGAGCUCGUUCGCGCCCCCAACGGGACUUAGGCAGUCGGCCGCGACGGGCAGCUGGCUACGGCGGGAGCCGGCCGGCGUGAAGCAGGCGGAGGCGAGGCGGCCCGGCGAGGCGCGAAGCAGGCGGAGCUCGCCCGCGCCCGUGGCCGGGGCGGAGUUCGCGCCCGCCUCUGCGUGGCCGGGGCGGCGUCGAACGCGACGGGUCUGCAAGCAGCCGAAGGUGAUUCCGGCGAUCGUGGCAGAGGGCAAGUGCCCGCCCGGCGGUGCGGACGCGGUCGUGCUCUACACCACCACCCUCCGCGGCAUCCGCAAGACGUUCGAGGAGUGCAACGCGGUGUGCGCCGCAAUCAAGGCCCACGACGUGAAGGUCAUCGAGCGGGACGUGUCCAUGGACUCGGGCUACCUGGAGGAGCUGCGGCUGCUACUGGGCGGGCGGGAGCUGCGCGUGCUCUUUGGUGGCGUCCUGCUGCUAGGUAGAGAGAAGGAGGAGCAGGGUCAUGCCGCCUCCACCUCCAUGGCCGAGCGGGGGAGAGACAGAUGUUUUUACGAGUCACCUCAGCUCCCUUGCCCAGUUGCCCUGGUGCAUGUGGCCGGCGGCCACUCGUUCUCGACCGACCAUCUGACGACUCCUGUCUUCUCACCCACGCCUCCUACAGCUACAGUUGUACGAACAUGGGCGGACCUACCGAGCGGCUGGAACUGGAUGCUGCGAGCGUGCGUGCCCAUCUGUGGCCAGCGGCGGCGCUUCCACUUCGAGGCCGGGAAGAACUGGUCAGAAGAAGCAGCGAUGGCGAUCGGGAAGUCGUUCCACGCGGUGGAGACCGGGCAGGGCAUGACUGAAUCAGGGGGGAAAAUCCAACCUGCAUGGAGGGAGAAACAUGUGUGCUCUCCAAAGUCCCUACUGGAAUUUAAAAUGAGAAUUGGUGCGCUGGCGCUGCCAAAUGGGCCCCUGGUGUCAGCGAGAGAAAGGCAGAGAAGAACCAUCCGCCGGCGACCAACACUGUUGCCUGCUGGCUUGCGUUGCGUGCGUGGGAAUGUGCGCAGUAACUUCACAGUCAGCAGCGGCCAGCAGAACGAGAGAGAAAGAGAGAGGAGGGGCAGCUCCAGAAGCAAGCUCCUAUUCUUUUCAUCCGAAGAAAAGAAAAAAGAAUUUCCUCUCCGAGGCUCAGGCGCUUUCCAUCCAUCGUGCUUCUCCUCGUCACACCGAACCCGGAGCGGGUCACUGACACGCUGCCCCCGCCCGGAGCUCAAACUCCCAUUCCGCUCCCCCCCCCCCUUCCUGGCUUGCGUCCUACGCCUGGCGCCUCUUCCAGUUCCACCCCGGUGCGCUCCGGUCCCUGACGGGCGGGCCCACCGGGGGCGCGCCCGUCAUUUCCGCGGUGGCCACUGUGCGCGGACGGAAGAAAGGCUCGGCUUCGGCUCCCAUCCUGUCCUUGGUCGGACGGCGGCCACCUCACCCCGCUCACCGCGGUUAGUCAAUGACGAGUGGGUCCUGCUGACCGUGGGGCCCGUCGGUCGGUGGGAGGGCAAGUUAUGUGCUGCGAUGUGGCGGUGCGGGGCGGGGGCAGGCGAGGUGUGUGUGUGUCGUGUGUGCGGGGCGGGGGUGGGGAUUAUUUUAGUCCGCGGUUUUAUUCCGGCAUUUAAAAGGCCCGGCCACCACGCCGUGGCCUUGGUUCGUCUCCACGCCCCCCAUAUUUCCCAUUCCUUUCCCUGCCCUGCUCCCACCCACAUCUCCACCUCCACCCUCCUCCUCCUCCCUCUCCAUCCACUCCACCGGCGCAUCGGGGGUGUCUCCGUCUCCGUCCGGCCGUCGUGGUUUUCUUUCUUCCCGGGCUAG